rnacentral:rRNA from 1 species
UGCCAGCCGCCGCGGUAAUACGGAGGGUGCAAGCGUUGUUCGGAUUUACUGGGUGUAAAGGGCGCGCAGGCGGAUUUGUCAGUCAGGGGUGAAAUCCUACAGCUUAACUGUAGAACUGCCUUUGAUACUGGUUUUCUUGAGUGUAGUUGAGGUGGGCGGAAUAUGUCAUGUAGCGGUGAAAUGCAUAGAUAUGACAUAGAACACCUAUUGCGAAGGCAGCUCACUAAGCUACUACUGACGCUGAGGGACGAAAGCGUGGGGAGCGAACAGGAUUAGAUA